UGAAACUGUAAAUACAGUUUACAGGUGAUACACUCUGGUGUAUAAUUCCUGUAUCUUGUUGUGUCUGUUGGUGCCAACAUUUACAGAAACUGUAAAUACAGUUUACAGGUGAUACACUCUGGUGAUACACUCUGGUGUAUAAUUCCUGUAUCUUGUUGUGUCUGUUGGUGCCAACAUUUACAGAAACUGUAAAUACAGUUUACAGGUGAUACACUCUGGUGUAUAAUUCCUGUAUCUUGUUGUGUCUGUUGG